GAUGAACGCUGGCGGCGCGCCUAACACAUGCAAGUCGAACGAUUAAAGCACCUUCGGGUGUGUAUAAAGUGGCGAACGGCUGAGUAACACGUGGGCAACCUGCCCCUUUCAUUGGGAUAGCCACGGGAAACCGUGGAUAAUACCGAAUACUUCGAGACUUCCGCAUGGAAGACUCGAGAAAGCUCCGGCGGAGAGGGAUGGGCCCGCGGCCUGUGAGCUUGUUGGUGGGGUAACGGCCUACCAAGGCAAUGAAGGGUAGCUGGGUUGAGAGACCGACCAGCCAGAUUGGGACUGAGACACGGCCCAGACUCCUACGGGAGGCAGCAGUGGGGAAUCUUGCACAAUGGGCGAAAGCCUGAUGCAGCGACGCCGCGUGCGGGAUGAAGGCCUUCGGGUUGUAAACCGCUUUCAGCAGGGACGAGGCGAAAGUGACGGUACCUGCAGAAGAAGCCCCGGCUAACUACGUG
rnacentral:rRNA from 1 species